UAAAAUGCAGCUGAAACCACUCAGCGUUGACCGGCGCUGCAGCGCUGUUUUCUUCAUGCACUGUCAAGCUGUAUGUGGCGCGAAACACUGUGAACUUUCAACCCUGAAGAUAAUGCAGACCUAACGUCUACAUUGGAAGAAAGCGCCAUCAGUCACAAAUGCUGCUUCGUCAUUGGUUAACUCAUAAGGGGGAGGCUGACCUAACGACGUCAAGUCGUACUACUCAUGAAGUUGGUGUCAGGAAGAAUGGAGGAAGAAACCGUUUCAGGACAAAAAAGAGGAUUGAAUGGCCCAGCAGGAAAUAAUAAAAAAGAGAUGCCCAAAAGAGCGCGAUACCCACCGAAGAAGAUGAGCUUUUAUGACCCAGACUUACCCAGAGAUGACCAAGCUUACACCAUGCGCUGCAGUACGCUGGAUGAUUGGACACCAGUCGAAAAAAGCCUUGAUCAACAAAUGUCGCAUGAGGGGUACAACAUAAAUUCUAGAUGUACUUAGACAUUUGUUGCAGUGUUCAAAGCCCUAAUACUGCUGGGCUUAGAGACUUAAUUUUUGUUUGCUGUCUUAAAAACUGUGUUGAACUUUUGUUAAUAUUAUGGCUGUUGAUGUUAUUAUAGCUAUUUGAAAUGUUGUAAAUUGUUUGCACUUUGUUUUUUGUUGGUGUUAAUUAAAAAAUGUUUGCCCGCCUGUCUGCCUUGCCUCCAUUUGCCUGCGUUUGGGUCCGCACCACUUGCCCGCCCACAUUCUUUGACCAAAAUUCUCAACAGUACUCAAUUUUCAAGUACAAUGACUGUGUUGGAAUUCAC